UACAGAGGGUGCAAGCGUUGUUCGGAAUUAUUGGGCGUAAAGCGCGUGUAGGCGGCCAGACAGGUCCGUUGUGAAAACUCGAGGCUCAACCUCGAGAUGUCGAUGGAAACCGUCUGGCUAGAGUCCGGAAGAGGAGUGUGGAAUUCCUGGUGUAGCGGUGAAAUGCGCAGAUAUCAGGAAGAACACCUAUGGCGAAGGCAGCACUCUGGGACGGUACUGACGCUGAGACGCGAAAGCGUGGGGAGCGAACAGG
rnacentral:rRNA from 1 species